UACGGAGGGUGCAAGCGUUGUCCGGAUUUAUUGGGUUUAAAGGGUGCGUAGGCGGCUCAUUAAGUCUGGGGUGAAAGCCCGUUGCUCAACAACGGAACUGCCCUGGAAACUGGUGAGCUUGAGUACAGACGAGGGUGGCGGAAUGGAUGCUGUAGCGGUGAAAUGCAUAGAUAGCAUCCAGAACCCCGAUUGCGAAGGCAGCUGACUAGGCUGUUACUGACGCUGAGGCACGAAAGCGUGGGGAGCGAACAGG
rnacentral:rRNA from 1 species